GUUAAAUUGAACAAGCUCUGCUAAGACUUCAGAAUCUUAAACAGCUUUUCUCUCUCUCCAAAACCGAACAAAAUGCAAGUACUCGUUUCUGCUGGAGAAAACACAAAUAUUUCCGACAAAUUUGCUCAAGAUUUCGCCGAAAGGCUAGAAAUCAACUCUAAUGAAGAAGAACUGGAACUAGAUGAAGGUGAAGAGGAGUUUUCUUUCGUUUGUGUGAAUCCUGAAUCUCCGAUUGCAGCGGAUGAAGCUUUCUCUAACGGCCAGAUCCGGACGGUAUUUCCGAUUUUUGAUCAAACUCUGCUCUAUGAUUACAUUAACAAUGACGGUGAUGUAAAAAUCGACUCAUCCUCCUCUCUACGACAUCCGUUAAGGAAACUUUUCGUCGAGGAGCGAUCUAAUGAGGAGGCCGAACCGGUCGGUCCGUUCUGUGAAUGGUCCUCGAGUAAAACCCUGAAGGAAGCUUCACCGGAUUCUUGCAAGAAGAGCAACUCCACAGGUUUCUCUAAACUUUGGAGAUUCCGAGAGCUCGGUAUUCGAAGCAGCAGUGAUGGUAAAGACGCGUUUGUUUUCUUGGACAACGGUAAUAACAAUAAUAGUAAUAAAAGUGAAAAGCCAGAGAAAGAGAAAUCUUCAGUGAGCACGACGAAGGUUGAGAAAACGAGUGGAAAGAAUAAAAACGAAAAAGUUAAGAAGGUGAAGGUGGAAACGGUGUCUUCUAUGUACGAGAAGCAUUACUUGAAAAGAGAAGGUGAUAGGCGGAAGUCGUAUUCGCCAUAUCGACAAGAUCUGGUUGGCUUCUUCACCACAGUUAAUGGUUUGAGCAAGAACGUUCAUCCAUACUAAGCAUUUUGGAACCCUUUUUUUUGGGGCUAUAUUAAUUAUUUCAUUUUUACAUGUAAAUUUGUUAAUAUAAGUUGAGGAAAGUGUUUGGAUCUGCUGUUUUAAGGUUCCGCAUAACACAUAUAAUGGAGAUUUUGUAUAUCAGUCAGUAACUGUAGAUUAAUUAAUUUAUUUUUAUAUUUUGUAUUCGUUGCAAUGCCUCCUAUCAAUUAUAUGAAUUUUGGGGUUUUGAUGAUAUACUAU